rnacentral:rRNA from 1 species
CUUGUUGGUGAGGUAACGGCUCACCAAGGCUCCGAUCCGUAGCUGGUCUGAGAGGACGAUCAGCCACACUGGGACUGAGACACGGCCCAGACUCCUACGGGAGGCAGCAGUGGGGAAUCUUGCGCAAUGGGCGAAAGCCUGACGCAGCGACGCCGCGUGAGGGAAGAAGGCCUUCCGGUUGUAAACCUCUUUCAGGAGGGACGAAGCCACUCGGGUUAAUAGCCCAGAGGGUGACGGUACCUCCAGAAGAAGCCCCGGCUAACUACGUGCCAGCAGCCGCGGUAAUACGUAGGGGGCUAGCGUUGUCCGGAUUUAUUGGGCGUAAAGAGCGUGUAGGCGGCCAGGUAGGUCUGCUGUGAAAACUCGAGGCUCAACCUCGAGACGUCGGCGGAAACCAUCUGGCUAGAGUCCGGAAGAGGAGAGUGGAAUUCCUGGUGUAGCGGUGAAAUGCGCAGAUAUCAGGAAGAACACCCGUGGCGAAGGCGGCUCUCUGGGACGGUACUGACGCUGAGACGCGAAAGCGUGGGGAGCGAACAGGAUUAGAUACCCUGGUAGUCCACGCCGUAAACGAUGGGUGCUAGGUGUGGGCGGUGUCGACUCCGUCCGUGCCGAAGCUAACGCAUUAAGCACCCCGCCUGGGGAGUACGGCCGCAAGGCUAAAACUCAAAGGAAUUGACG